GGCCGCGCGCGGGAGGAGCCGGCCUCGGAUGGAUGCCCGUGGGAGCUCUCCAGCUGCUGGUCCCCGGGGAGAGCCGCGCGCCGGGGGGGGAGGGAGGGGGGGGAGGCAAAGGAGCAGCGCCCGAUUCAGCACUGUGCUGAGCCUCCGAUGGCCUAGGGGAUAAAAGCCUUGUGACUUGAAGGUUGGGUUGCUGACCUGAAGGCUGCCAGGUUCGAAUCCCACCCGGGGAGACCGCGGAUGAGCUCCCUCUAUCAGCUCUAGCGCCAUGCGGGAAGAUGAGAGAAGCCUCCCACAAGGAUGGUAAAACAUCAAAACAUCCGGGCGUCCCCUGGGGAACGUCCUUGCAGGCGGCCAAUUCUCUCACUCCAGAAGCAACUCUGGUUGCUCCUGACACACACACACACACACACAAACCACUAUGCUGAGGUGUGCUUGAGCAGGGGGCCCUCCAGUCAGGGGGAUUUCUCCAUCUUCCUGCAUGGAUUUGGCUUAUGUGGUGCCAUUCUAAAUUUGAAGGAGCAAUUCCAGACAUAACGAGAGAGCCCACAGUGAGUGGGCAGGCAGUGUAGUCCUAUUUAUUUAUUUAUUAUUAUUAUUAGGAGCCCCAAUGGCGCAGCGCGUUAAACCGCUGAGAUUCUGAAUUUGCUGAUUGAAAAGCUGGCAGUUCGAAUCUGGGGAGCAGGGCAAGCUCCCGCUGUUAGCCCCAGCUUCUGCCAACCUAAGGUAAAGGUAAAGGUUUACCCUGACGUUAAGUCCAAUCAUGACCGACUCUGGGGGUUGGUGCUCAUCUCCAUUUCUAAGCCGAAGAGCCGGCGUUGUCCGUAGACACAUCCAAGGUCAUGUGGCCGGCAUGACUGCAUGGAACGUCGUUACCUUCCAGCUGGAGCGGUAACUAUUGAUCUACUCACAUUGGCAAGUUUUCGAACUGCUAGGUUGUAAGAAGCUGGAGCUAACAGCCCCCAGAGUUGGACACGACUAGACUUAAUGUCAGGGGAAAACCUUUAUCUUCUUCUUAUUAUUAUGAUUAUUAUUAUUAGAUACACAACAAGAUGAGUAUACAGCAAACAAGAUCACUCUGCUGGCUGUUCUAUUGGGUCACACAGCGGACACUUCCCAAGUGUCUAGAACUGUGUGAUGUAUCAGCCAAUAAUGCAUGCAGAUCUGAUCAAGGUGGCCUUUUGCAGCUGACAGAUGGUAAUUUUGUCAGUGCCGAUUGAGUUUAAGUAAAGGCCAAGGUCUUUAGGCACUGCAUCCAGUGUGCCGAUCACCACUGGGACCACCAUUACUGGCUUGUGCCAGAAUCUUUGCAGUUUGAUCUUUAAAUCCUCAUAUCGUGUCAGCUUUUCCAGUUGCUUCUCGUCAAUCCUGCUGUUGCCUGGGACUGCAACAUCAAUUAUCCAUACUUUGUUUUUUAACACAAUCGUGAGGUUAGGAGUAGGUUAAAGGUAAAGGUUGUCCCUAACAUUAAGUCUCGUUGUGUCCAACUCUGGAGGUUGGUGCUCAUCCCAUCCCCAGUGGUUCUAAGCCAAAGAGCCGGCGUUGUACGUAGACUCCUCCAAGGUCAUGUGGCCGGCAUGACUACAUGGACCGCUAUUACCUUCCUGCCAAAACAGUACCUAUCAAUCUAUUAACAUUUGCAUGUUUUCAAACUUCUAGGUUGGUAGAAGCUGGGGCUAACAGCAGGAGCUCACACUGCUCCCUGGAUUCGAACCACCAACCUUUCAAUGGCAAGUUCAGCAGCUCAGCGGUUUCCCAAGGUCAGAAGUAUUGUGUUCCAAAACUAUUUUAGUCUGAAUUUGGAAGCCUGAGAGUUGUUUGACAUGUUCAUUUUCUGUAAUCUUUUCAGGCUUCUGAUCCCACUAGUACUUUGUCACAGGUAUUAUUAUUAUUUUCCAUACAUGUAUCCUGCUUUCCUCAACCCCAAAGGAGACUCAAGGUGUCCUUACAAAGGCAACAUUUCAAUGCUGCAUGUAUACAUACAUCAAAGGAUAAACAAAACAUUAAAAACCAACCAAUUAAAACAUAGCAUUAAAAUAAGAAUUAAAAUCACAUAAUCCAAGUCAUAUUCCAAGGCCAGUCUGCAUCAUCAUUAAAUUAGUUUAUUAUUGCUCUUCUCCCAUUAUUGACCAAAAGCCUGUCCCUAAAGCCAUAUUUUAGAUGUUUUCUGAGGUGUCUCCCACUGGUUCAUCUAAUCCAAGCACUGCCAAAGAAACCAUGGAACAGGAGCAAAGAGAAGAAACUGUGUCAUUGUUAGACCUUGGACUUUAUAUGAACAAGACUGUUUCUGAUUACCAAGUGAAAGCUCAGUUAGUGCACUAUCCACAGACUCCAUUGCCAGGAUAUAUAUUUCUUGUGUAUAAGAGACGCAUCUCAGAUUUCAACCCAAAUGGUUCAGCAGAUUUUCCUGGUUGGCCUACACAUUGCAUGUACAAGGUGCAAUCUGUCAGCACAGUGUGGUGUUUGGAGGAGACGUUGGGAAUAAAGGUGCUCAUCAGAAGCUUAGUACAUUGGUGGCUAAACCAUUUGUGCGAUGGAAAAAUGUAAUAGAAGUCUUCAAUAGAUACCAAAAAAUAAAAUACCAUCGGAACAACUUCUGCUUGGCUGAAAACUUCUUGCUAAUUCACAGUGGAAGAUGUCUUGAUGUAACCUGUCAUCAUGAUAAAGGAAAUGAUAAGAAAGUAGAAGAAAACAGAAAGAAACUUCUGCCAAUUGUGGAAAUUAUUGUCCUAUGUGACUGACAAGAACUGGUUUUAAGAGGGAGUAAUGAUUCAGGACCCAUUACCUGUGAAGAACCUUUGCAUAAUGAUUUCAGGGCCUUCUUGAGACCUUGUGCCAGAUCAGGGACAUUCAAAGUUGGUUGAAUGGGUGUAACUCAGAAGGAUACUUUACAAGGGAAUCUUCUUUGAAUCCACUGACAAUAUAAAACUUGGAAAAAUAACUGACACCCAAGAAAGCAUUUCUGCAAGAGCUACAGUGAAUUUAAGGAAUACAUGGCUAUCAUGUCUCCUCUCAGCCUCCUUUUCUCCAAGCUGACAGCCUAUACAUUUGCUGCAUGACCAUAUUAUUUUUGGUAUAUUUCUCAUUAACUAUAUAAUUAACAUGAAGCAAAUGUCUGAAAGACUCCAUAUACGCCUGACGUCAUGAGGAUUCUCCAGCCAAUGAGGACCUGGAUUGAAGCUAGGCCAAUUUAUGGCCAAAAAAGGGAGAGUGCAGGAACUUUGAAUGGCUGUCAAAGGGAAUAAAAUGUCUUUCACUGUACUGCUUGGUUAUGUCCAGUACCUUUUGGGUAGAUACUUUGUACAAGAUGUCUUUUCAGGCUUGAAAGUAAAUCAAUUUAUAUUCCUGUUGCCUUCAACCUGGUUUGUGUGUCUUUGUUUUGUUGCAAUUGUAGUGGGGCGUACUGGGCAUCAAUCCCCUGCCCGCUCCUUGGUGGGUAAUUGAAUUUCUGCUUCAUAUUCACACUCCACUGUAUUAGGAAAAGGUUUUCUUGGAUCCAGUAGAGUAGGAAAAUCACACAAAAUGUAACAGCAAAAUUGUAAACCUAU